rnacentral:rRNA from 1 species
UACGAAGGGGGCUAGCGUUGUUCGGAAUUACUGGGCGUAAAGCGUGCGCAGGCGGCUUCUCAAGUCAGGGGUGAAAGCCCAGAGCUCAACUCUGGAAUUGCCUUUGAGACUGAGUGGCUUGAGUACGAGAGAGGUGAGUGGAAUUCCCAGUGUAGAGGUGAAAUUCGUAGAUAUUGGGAAGAACACCGGUGGCGAAGGCGGCUCACUGGACGCGUAUUGACGCUGAGGUGCGAAAGCGUGGGGAGCAAACAGG